rnacentral:tRNA from 1 species
GCGGCAUUGGUCCAGUGGUACGACGUCACGUUGCCAACGUGGAGACCCGGGUUCAAGUCCCGGAUGCCGCA